GAUGAACGCUGGCGGCGUGCCUAAUACAUGCAAGUCGAGCGAACAGACGAGGAGCUUGCUCCUCGGACGUUAGCGGCGGACGGGUGAAUAACACGUGUAUAACGUACCUAUCAGACUGGGAUAACUUCGGGAAACCGGAGCUAAUACCGGAUAAUCUCUUGAACCGCAUGGUUCAAUAGUGAAAGACGGUGUUGCUGUCACUUAUAGCUGGAUCCGCGCUGCAUUGGAUAGUUGGGAAGGUAACGGCUUACCAAGGCGACGAUGCGUAGCCGACCUGACAGGGUGAUCGGCCACACUGGAACUGGGACGCGGUCCUGGCGACUACGGGAGGCAGCAGUAGGGAAUGGUCCGCAAUGGGCGAAAGCCUGACGGAGCGACGCCGCGUGAGUGAUGACGGUCUUCGGAUCGUAAAACUCUGUUACUAGGGAAGAACAAAUGUGUAAGGAACUGUGCACGUCUUGACGGUACCUAAUCAGAAAGCCACGGCUAACUACGUG
rnacentral:rRNA from 1 species